GCUCAACGGAUAAAAGGUACUCCGGGGAUAACAGGCUGAUACCGCCCAAGAGUUCAUAUCGACGGCGGUGUUUGGCACCUCGAUGUCGGCUCAUCACAUCCUGGGGCUGAAGUAGGUCCCAAGGGUAUGGCUGUUCGCCAUUUAAAGUGGUACGCGAGCUGGGUUUAGAACGUCGUGAGACAGUUCGGUCCCUAUCUGCCGUGGGCGCUGGAGAAUUGAGGGGGGCUGCUCCUAGUACGAGAGGACCGGAGUGGACGCAUCACUGGUGUUCGGGUUGUCAUGCCAAUGGCACUGCCCGGUAGCUAAAUGCGGAAGAGAUAAGUGCUGAAAGCAUCUAAGCACGAAACUUGCCCCGAGAUGAGUUCUCCCUGAGACUAUAAGUCUCCUGAAGGAACGUUGAAGACGACGACGUUGAUAGGCCGGGUGUGUAAGCGCAGCGAUGCGUUGAGCUAACCGGUACUAAUGAACCGUGAGGCUUAACCUUACAACGCCGAAG
rnacentral:rRNA from 1 species